rnacentral:sRNA from 1 species
GUUUCCUCCCAGGGCCAUUGUUACCACCUGAUCAUUUCAGUUUUAGUUUCUCUAGCAGAUGCUGGCUAAUGACUGACCAGGAUCGAAUCAUCAAUUUAGUUGUUGGCAGCUUAACAUCCUUAUUGAUUCUAGUAACGCUGAUAAGUGCUUUUGUUUUCCCUCAACUACCUCCAAAACCGUUGAAUAUAUUCUUUGCUGUCUGCAUCUCUUUGAGUAGUAUUACUGCCUGCAUACUUGUAAGUACUGUUGAGAAUUUAAACAGUGUUCUUGAGGGUUUAAGUUGCAAUGCACAGGACAAAAAUUUUCAGCCUUGGGUCUGUACAAAACGGUAUCUCUUAAUUAUAUCCUCAUCCUCCCCCUAAAAGUAUGUUAGAAUUCUCAAUAAAAUCUGAGUCUUCUCCUUUUCUCCUAAAUCCCAAAGUUGUAACCCCAAAGAGAAAUUCCAUUCCCUUGAUAGCU